rnacentral:rRNA from 1 species
AUGGCAGAAUGCUUCAAUAAGGUGCUCAAGGGUGUACGUGCAUUACCCGUGACGGCAAUAGUUCAAUACACAUUUGACAAGAUGAAUGAAUACUUUUUGAAGCACUCAAUGGAGACUGGUAAGCAGAUUGCUGGUGAGAACAAGGAUAAGCACAAGUACAAUUUCCCACCAAAGGUUGAAGAAUGGUUGGUAUUUCAAUCACGAAAGGCAGACUCCGAAGAAGCUGUUCUAUAUGACGACAACGAGUGGAAGUAUGAGGUGAAAGAGCCCGGAGGAACCACAAAUGAUGGCCGCCAGCACGGAGGCCGGGCUUUCAAGGUCUCCCUAACACGGUGCGAUUGCAGCUGCAUGAGGCCGUCUUUGCUUCAUCUCCCAUGCUCGCACUUGUUAAAUGCAUCCCGGGUUAGGAAUGUGGACGUCAAUCACCCUCUAACCGUGAGGGAGUCCGAGUUCUCAAUCAUGACGGUAAAGAAGACAUGGACUCCACGGUUCCAGCCAUACUUGGACCAAUCACAAUGGCCGGAGUAUUAUGGAGUUCAACUAUGGCCGGACCCG